UAGAGUUUGAUCAUGGCUCAGAUUGAACGCUGGCGGCAUGCCUUACACAUGCAAGUCGAACGGCAGCACGGGGGCAACCCUGGUGGCGAGUGGCGAACGGGUGAGUAAUACAUCGGAACGUGUCCUGUAGUGGGGGAUAGCCCGGCGAAAGCCGGAUUAAUACCGCAUACGCUCUGUGGAGGAAAGGGGGGGAUCUUAGGACCUCUCGCUACAGGGGCGGCCGAUGGCAGAUUAGCUAGUUGGUGGGGUAAAGGCCUACCAAGGCGACGAUCUGUAGCUGGUCUGAGAGGACGACCAGCCACACUGGGACUGAGACACGGCCCAGACUCCUACGGGAGGCAGCAGUGGGGAAUUUUGGACAAUGGGCGCAAGCCUGAUCCAGCAAUGCCGCGUGUGUGAAGAAGGCCUUCGGGUUGUAAAGCACUUUUGUCCGGAAAGAAAACAUUCCCACUAAUACUGGGGGUGGAUGACGGUACCGGAAGAAUAAGCACCGGCUAACUACGUGCCAGCAGCCGCG
rnacentral:rRNA from 1 species